CUGCUGUCAAUCUAUCUACCACUGUCAAUCUAUCUAUCACUGUCAAUCUAUCUAUCACUGCUAAUCUAUCACUGCUAAUCUAUCACUGCUAAUCUAUCACUGCUAAUCUAUCACUGC
rnacentral:sRNA from 1 species